CUAACUUGCUUAUUUAUUCUCUCUCUCUCUCUCUCUUUCCUGAAAGCUUUUCUCUCCGUGAUUUUUGUUUUCAAUAACAUUCUUCAAAUUAUUUCCAUUUCCAUUUUCUUUUUUUCCCCUCCUGGUUUGUGGUGGGGGGUUCGAAUUUUUAAGAUGGAUAUCGAGCAAAAGCAAGCCGAGUUCAUCGAUCACUUUGUUAAGCAAGCGUCGGCUCAGAAGGGGACGGCCCUUGGUUCCGUUAUCGUCGAAGCGACGUCGCAUCCUUCCCUCUUCGCCUUCUCCGAGAUUCUUGCCGUGCCCACCGUCGCUGAGCUAGACGGAACUGAAAACUCCGUGUACCUCGAGGUGCUUCGGCUGUUUGCCCAUGGCACAUGGAGCGAUUACAAAAGCAAUACUGGCAGCCUUCCUCAAUUGGUCCCUGAUCAAGUUCUCAAGUUAAAGCAACUCACUGUCCUUACACUUGCUGAGACAAACAAGGUAUUACCAUAUGAUCAACUAAUGCUGGAGUUAGAUGUCACCAAUGUUCGGGAACUUGAAGAUUUUCUUAUCAAUGAGUGCAUGUAUGUGGGUAUAGUCAGAGGAAAACUGGAUCAGCUGCGAAGAUGUUUUGAGAUCCAAUUUGCUGCUGGGAGGGAUAUGAGGUCAGGACAACUUGGGAGUAUGAUAGAAACACUAGCGAACUGGUUGUUAACAUCAGACAACUUACUAAUCUCAAUUCAAGAGAAGAUAAAAUGGGCGGAUAAUAUGAGUGAGUUUGACAAAAAACAUCUAAAGGAGGUUGAAGAUAGGGUGGAAGAAGUAAAGAAGUCCAUCUCUGCCAAGAAGUUACCAAUUGUAAGCAGGCUGAAGUUGACUUCCGAGGGAUCGAAGAGAUCUACUUUGAACCUGGUGGAGUGAUGGACUAUGAAGAAGACCGAAGUCGACCAAAGAGGAGACGGCAUCCAAGAUCAUGAAGAUAAAGAAAAGCACCCGAUUGGACCAAUGUUUAGUUGAAUAGCCAGAUUUUUGUUCACAACAUCUCAGCAACAGAUGAAUCUACUUUCGGGACAGGGAUACUGCUGCCUCCCUGCCUUUGUGAUUGUUGCUUUAAAAUUCGAGAAUUACACCAACUUGUUUUGAACCCUUUGUCUAUUCCUUUCUGAGUUGGGAAGAACAGCAGUUGGUCUGGAGGGUGCGGAUAAAA